GACGAACGCUGGCGGCGUGCUUAACACAUGCAAGUCGAACGAGGCCGGGUCUUCGGACCCGAGUCGAGUGGCGGACGGGCGCGUAACACGUGAGUGACCUGACCUUGUGUGGGGGACAACCCGGGGAAACCCGGGCUAAUACCGCAUGGGCGCAGCGCCUUUCGGGGUGCAGCGUGAAAGCCGGCCUAUCCAUGGAAGCUGGCGCGCAGGGAGGGGCUCGCGGCGUAUCAGCUGGUUGGUGAGGUAACGGCUCACCAAGGCGACGACGCGUAGCGGGUCUGAGAGGACGACCCGCCACAUUGGAACUGAGACACGGUCCAGACUCCUACGGGAGGCAGCAGUGGGGAAUAUUGGGCAAUGGCCGCAAGGCUGACCCAGCGACGCCGCGUGCGGGAUGACGCUUUUCGGAGUGUAAACCGCUGUCAGAGGGGAAGAAGACCUUCGAGGUGAAUAAUCUCGAGGGCUGACGGUACCUUCAGAGGAAGCACCGGCUAACUCCGUGCCAGCAGCCGCGGUAAGACGGAGGGUGCGAGCGUUGUUCGGAAUUACUGGGCGUAAAGCGCGCGCAGGCGGGUGCGCAAGUCGGAGGUGAAAGCGCAGGGCUCAACCCUGCGACGCCCUCCGAGACUGCGUGUCUAGGGACCGGUAGAGGUGAGUGGAAUUCCCGGUGUAGCGGUGGAAUGCGUAGAUAUCGGGAAGAACACCGGAGGCGAAGGCGGCUCACUGGGCCGGAUCCGACGCUGAGGCGCGAAAGCGUGGGGAGCAAACAGGAUUAGAUACCCUGGUAGUCCACGCCGUAAACGAUGGGUGCUAGGUGUCGGGGGGGAGCGACCCCCUCGGUGCCGCAGCUAACGCAUUAAGCACCCCGCCUGGGGAGUACGGCCGCAAGGCUGAAACUCAAAGGAAUUGACGGGGGCCCGCACAAGCGGUGGAGCAUGUGGUUCAAUUCGACGCAACGCGAAGAACCUUACCGGGGUUUGAACUGUACGGGACAGCUCUAGAGAUAGAGUCUUCCUUCGGGACCCGUAUAGAGGUGCUGCAUGGCUGUCGUCAGCUCGUGUCGUGAGAUGUUGGGUUAAGUCCCGCAACGAGCGCAACCCUUGCCUCCUGUUGCUAACGAGUAAAGUCGAGCACUCUGGAGAGACUGCCGGUGAUAAACCGGAGGAAGGUGGGGAUGACGUCAAGUCCUCAUGGCCUUUAUGCCCCGGGCUACACACGUGCUACAAUGGCUGGUACAAAGGGUUGCAAAACCGCGAGGUGGAGCUAAUCCCAAAAAGCCAGUCCCAGUUCGGAUUGCAGUCUGCAACUCGACUGCAUGAAGUUGGAAUCGCUAGUAAUCGCGGAUCAGCACGCCGCGGUGAAUACGUUCCCGGGCCUUGUACACACCGCCCGUCACAUCACGAAAGCCGGCUGUACUAGAAGUCGCUGAGCUGACCCGUAAGGGGGGCAGGCGCCCACGGUAUGGUCGGUGAUUGGGGUG
rnacentral:rRNA from 1 species